rnacentral:snRNA from 1 species
AGCUUUGCACAGUGGCAGUAUCAUAGCCAAUGAGGUUUAUCCGAGGUGCGAUUAUUGCUAAUUGAAAACAAAACAUAAGCCGUGCGUGAUGACUGGCACCUGUCCCAGCUACUCAGGAAGCUGAGGCACUAGAAUCACUUGAACCUGGGAGGUGGAGGUUGCAG